UAGCUCACUUCAGCAGCAAGUAUACUGAAACUGGACUGAUACAGAGAUUAGCAUCACCCCUUUGCAAGGACUACACACAAAUUCAUGAAGGGUUCCAUAUUUUU
ensembl:snRNA U6 U6 spliceosomal RNA